rnacentral:lncRNA from 1 species
CAUAAAGAAGACUGAACUCAAGUCACGAUGAAGAUCCUCCUCAUCUUCUUCACUUUCUACCUGAUCUCAGGUGCAGUGAAAGACAUUGACGUGACUGGGUAUUCUGGAAGAAGCAUUCAUGUUGAUUCACACGAGUCUUGGUUCAAUUCUUCUGCUAAACACAUGAACAAACUUAUGAUCUACAUCAGAGAUUUAAAUCAACAUGAUGCUGGAAGAUACCAGAUUAGCGUUGAAGGCAAAUGGUCCAUCGAUAUGACUUUGAAAGUGGAAGAAGGUCAGUUAUUUUAAGAUCAAAUUCUUAAGAUCAAAAGUGUAGUAAAACAACUGAUCAUUUCAAAACUUUUAAUGUUUGUGAAAUCUAUUUCUUUAAUUUUGUGAA